UUCGACCCCACAGAGAUGUGUAUUUUUGGUGUACAUAGUGGAGAGUUGGGUUGAGGUCUUCAUUCAUCAAGUAAUUAACCUUCUGCGUAUGGUAAUAAAAGCCCCCCCUCUCAUCGCCUCCGUAGUUUAUUCGUAUUUGUUGUUCUAAACAUUGCCAGAAAUUUCUGUGGGGGAAGAAACAAGGCUUUCAUAUCAUAGUGAAAGAAAGGAAAGGAAAAAAAAAGAGGUCUAUUUCAUUCGUUUUGUUUUCCUUUUCUUGGGGUUCUUUUUCCACCUGGGUUCUUGUAAAAAUCAAGUGGGUAAUUGUUGUAAUUGCGAGGAGUUCCCCCCUUGUUUGUUUUCCUGGAAAUUUUUUCCACCUAAGUACUUAACCAAAUUGCUGUUCAUUUCCUACGAGAAGUUGUACAUUUGCACCUGUUUUAAUUGAGCCAAGGUUCAAUCAAGUGAGUGGAAAAAGUAGAGCAUGAUCAUAGCGUGGAGAUUUGGAAUUUUGGAAGCAUUCAAAUUGAGGACUUUGAACACUUUAGUGAAAUCAUUGUUGUUUCUCCAAGUAAUUUUGCUUUGCCUUCCAGGACGACAAUAGUGAUUUAGAUUAUGAGUUGGAAGCUCUCCCCCUGUUAGUAGUGAAGUUUCAACAGAGGCUGCUGCUUGUGUGAAGAGGAAUCUGUAAUGCUGAUUUGAUAUAUGACCAUCCCUCUCUUUGGGAUGAGGCUAGACAUUUGGCUUUUCUGAGUAAUUUCGAGGAUUGGCGUUCAUUUGUACCUUCCUACAUGUUGGGUCAAUAUUGUGCUGCUAUCAGUGGCAUUAAUCUGCCUUGGAAUGCUGGGUCCUGGACGCACUUUGUUCCUCCCCAAUCCUCUUUUAUGUCGUGUCUCAAUAAUAAGUUAUACAACGAAACACCCGAGGACCUUGUGAGGUUCCUGCGAAAUUGUGCGGGUCAUAUCGCCAGAUAUUCUAGAGAUGGCCGGAAGUUUAACCAACUCACCCUUGAAGCAAGGAUGCAGUACCUUUUCCCAAUGCAUCUCGUGGAGUUGGUAUCCCGGCUCUACAGGAUAGGCUUUUCCUCCACUUUCUUCACGUUAUGAAACACCUUUCUUACCAAUUUUAAGGUCAUGUGUUUUGCCACGAGGGACCUAAACCUGGUUUUAUGGCGGAGGGUGCAACCUUGGAGACUGUUAUGUUAACUCCUAUUCCUUAUGAUGUCGGCAAUGAUCUCAAGGGUGGCUACUAUGUUUACUUCUGGAUUUUUUCUUUUGCUUGGUUUAUGUGCUGUGAACAUCUAAACCUUGAAUUUCAUGUGCUGAUUUUGUUUCUAGUAGUUGGUUUAAAGGAGUUGUUAUGGUUUACAUCAGUGGGCACUGGUGUUUUGUUUAAUUUUUGGAUGUUGAAGAGUCAGAUUACUAGGGUGAAUAUUUUCUUCUAGAAUGACGAAAGUUUGAUGGAUUAUGCAAAUUUGUCACUCCCAGCUCACAACAUAUUGCAAAA